UACGGAAGGCAGCAGUGGGGAAUAUUGCACAAUGGGCGCAAGCCUGAUGCAGCCAUGCCGCGUGUAUGAAGAAGGCCUUCGGGUUGUAAAGUACUUUCAGUCGUGAGGAAGGUGUUAAGGUUAAUAACCUUAGCAAUUGACGUUAGCGACAGAAGAAGCACCGGCUAACUCCGUGCCAGCAGCCGCGGUAAUACGGAGGGUGCGAGCGUUAAUCGGAAUUACUGGGCGUAAAGGGCACGCAGGCGGUUAAUUAAGUUGGAUGUGAAAUCCCCGGGCUUAACCUGGGAAUGGCAUUCAAGACUGGUUAGCUAGAGUCUUGUAGAGGGGGUGAAUUCCAUGUGUAGCGGUGAAAUGCGUAGAGAUGUGGAGGAAUACCGGUGGCGAAGGCGGCCCCUGGACAAAGACUGACGCUCAUGUGCGAAAGCGUGGGGAGCAAACAGGGAUUAGAUACC
rnacentral:rRNA from 1 species